rnacentral:rRNA from 1 species
UGGGGAAUAUUGCACAAUGGGCGGAAGCCUGAUGCAGCGACGCCGCGUGGGGGAUGAAGGCCUUCGGGUUGUAAACCUCUUUCGCCGGGGAAGAAGCGUGAGUGACGGUACCUGGAGAAGAAGCACCGGCUAACUACGUGCCAGCAGCCGCGGUAAUACGUAGGGUGCGAGCGUUGUCCGGAAUUAUUGGGCGUAAAGAGCUUGUAGGCGGUUUGUCGCGUCUGCCGUGAAAUCUAGGGGCUUAACUCCUGGCGUGCGGUGGGUACGGGCAGGCUAGAGUGUGGUAGGGGAGACUGGAAUUCCUGGUGUAGCGGUGAAAUGCGCAGAUAUCAGGAGGAACACCGAUGGCGAAGGCAGGUCUCUGGGCCACUACUGACGCUGAGAAGCGAAAGCAUGGGGAGCGAACAGG